GUGGGGAAUCUUCCACAAUGGGCGAAAGCCUGAUGGAGCAACGCCGCGUGCAGGAUGAAGGCCUUCGGGUCGUAAACUGCUUUUAUAAGUGAAGAAUAUGACGGUAACUUAUGAAUAAGCACCGGCUAACUACGUGCCAGCAGCCGCGGUCAUACGUAGGGUGCAAGCAUUAUCCGGAGUGACUGGGCGUAAAGAGUUGCGUAGGUGGUUUGUUAAGUAGGUAGUGAAAUCUGGCGGCUCAACCGUACAGGCUAUUACCUAAACUGGCAAACUCGAGAAUGGUAGAGGUAACUGGAAUUUCUUGUGUAGGAGUGAAAUCCGUAGAUAUAAGAAGGAACACCAAUGGCGUAGGCAGGUUACUGGACCAUUUCUGACACUGAGGCACGAAAGCGUGGGGAGCGAACGGGAUUAGAAACCCUGGUAGUCC
rnacentral:rRNA from 1 species